UACGGAGGGAGCUAGCGUUGUUCGGAAUUACUGGGCGUAAAGCGCACGUAGGCGGCUUUGUAAGUUAGAGGUGAAAGCCUGGGGCUCAACUCCAGAAUUGCCUUUAAGACUGCAUCGCUUGAAUUGCGGAGAGGUGAGUGGAAUUCCGAGUGUAGAGGUGAAAUUCGUAGAUAUUCGGAAGAACACCAGUGGCGAAGGCGGCUCACUGGACGCAUAUUGACGCUGAGGUGGCGGAAA
rnacentral:rRNA from 1 species